rnacentral:rRNA from 1 species
UACGGAGGGUGCAAGCGUUGUUCGGAAUCACUGGGCGUAAAGCGCGUGUAGGCGGCUAUCUAAGUCUGAUGUGAAAGCCCUGGGCUCAACUCAGGAAGUGCAUUGGAUACUGGAUAGCUGGAGUACCGGAGAGGAGGGUGGAAUUCCUGGUGUAGCGGUGAAAUGCGUAGAUAUCAGGAGGAACACCGGUGGCGAAGGCGUCCCUCUGGCCGGAUACUGACGCUGAGACGCGAAAGCGUGGGGAGCGAACAGG